rnacentral:lncRNA from 1 species
CGGCAAAGCUGCCUGCUUUGCAGCAGGAGCUCGUAUUUUACACAGGAACUGCUGUGGUCCAGCUGUAAUUAAGAUGAGCUAAUGAGAGAAUCUAAGGCUGCCCUUUAGAGAAUCUGUUGCAGCUGCCAUUGCUGGAUGGAAGGAGGUAGUUACCCCUGAGACCAGCGUGGACACAAAGGUUGAAGGGAAUCUAUACAAUCUUACACGCGUUCGCGCGACCGGCCAGGAAAGACGCAGCAAACCGGAAUCUUCUGCGGCAAAGCUUUAUUGCUUACAUCUUCAGGAGCCAGAGUGCAAGAGAGCAAGAGCUCUAUUGCUUACAUCUUUAGGAGCCAGAGCGCAAGAGCGCAAGAGAGAGAAAAAGAAAGCAAGAAAAAGAACAAGAACAAGAAAGCAAGAGAGAGAAUGGCAAAACCCCGUCCCUUUUAAGGAGAAUUAUCCUCCGCCUAGGACGUAUUACUCCCUGAUUGGCUGCAGCCCAUCGGCUCAGUUGUCAUCACGGGAAAGGCAGAACACAUGGCGGGAAAACUGCCCCUGCACGUGUGCAGAUUAUGUUUACCACUUAGAACACAGCUGUCAGCGCCAUCUUAUAAUGGCAAAUGUGAGGGCGGCUCCCAACAAUACAAGAAGCACACAACUCAGCCACAAGAGAGGGCCCAAGCAACCAGAGCUGGAAGCUGACCAGCAGAGGCAGCCUGGGACCUGGAAAGAGAAGAGUCGCCGGCAGACCCAUUCAAACCAGCCCCAUUUCUGCCAGAACCCCAUUUCCCUCCUCAUCCAUACAAUGGGGUGAUAAUCCUAAACACGGGACCAUUGUGCACAUUAGGUGAGAUAAACUUCACAAGUUGCCUCUUGUGCAUAAUUUUUUUUGUUUCUGAUUUACCUAGGCAUGGGAAGUGGUAGCGAAUUGUUCUAGUGAAGUAUUUCUUUGUUGAGAGAGUGACAUGACGAUCUUUUGGGAAAGAGGUGUGCCAUGUUAUCUGGAUGGGGCUGUGAGAGUCAGUGGGGGGAAAGUGGACAAGAGUUUGUGUGUUUUGAAAUCAGACAUGGAGCUGGCGACAGUGCUUAGAGGUAGAGCGCAUGCCUCACAUGGAUGAGGCUCAGGACCAUGCGCAAUAAGAUAUAAAUAUGAGUAAAUACAUAAUUAAGCUGGGUAUAAUGGUACAUGCCUAUAAUCCCAGCACGUGGGAGCCUGAGACAGUGAGAUCACUGUGAGUUAGAGGCCAACUUGGUUUACAUAGCAAUGACCAAGCUGACCAGGGCUAUAUAUUGAGACCCUGUUCCAACCCACUAAAAAUAAAUGAAACAAUAAACAAAAAAGCAAGUGUAA